rnacentral:rRNA from 1 species
CAGUAGCCUCGGGAAUACGGAGGGUGCAAGCGUUAAUCGGAAUUACUGGGCGUAAAGCGCACGCAGGCGGUCUGACAAGUCAGAUGUGAAAUCCCCGGGCUUAACCUGGGAACUGCAUUUGAAACUGUCAGGCUGGAGUCUUGUAGAGGGGGGUGGAAUUCCAGGUGUAGCGGUGAAAUGCGUAGAGAUCUGGAGGAAUACCGGUGGCGAAGGCGGCCCCCUGGACAAAGACUGACGCUCAGGUGCGAAAGCGUGGGGAGCAAACAGGAUUAGAUACCCCGGUAGUCCCUGUCUCUUAUAC